rnacentral:rRNA from 1 species
AUGACGAAGAACCCCGAUUGCGAAGGCAGCUCGCGGGAGCGCAACUGACGCUGAAGCUCGAAAGUGCGGGUAUCGAACAGGAUUAGAUACCCUGGUAGUCCGCACGGUAAACGAUGGAUGCCCGCUUUUCGGUCAUAGGACCGUGAGGCCAAGUGAAAACAUUAAGCAUCCCACCUGGGGAGUACGCCGGCAACGGUGAAACUCAAAGGAAUUGACGGGGGCCCGCACAAGCGGAGGAACAUGUNNNNAAUUCGAUGAUACGCGAGGAACCUUACCCGGGCUUGAAUUGCAGAUGAAGGAUCCAGAGAUGGUGACGCCCUUCGGGGCAUCUGUGAAGGUGCUGCAUGGUUGUCGUCAGCUCGUGCCGUGAGGUGUCGGCUCAAGUGCCAUAACGAGCGCAACCCCUCUCUUCAGUUGCCAUCAGGUAAAGCUGGGCACUCUGGAGACACUGCCACCGCAAGGUGUGAGGAAGGUGGGGAUGACGUCAAAUCAGCACGGCCCUUACGUCCGGGGCUACACACGUGUUACAAUGGGGGGUACAGCAAGCCGGCUGCCCGCAAGGUCAGUCCAAUCAAGAAAGCCCUCCUCAGUUCGGACUGGGGUCUGCAACCCGACCCCACGAAGCUGGAUUCGCUAGUAAUCGCGCAUCAGCCAUGGCGCGGUGAAUACGUUCCCGGGCCUUGUACACACCGCCCGUCAAGCCAUGAAAGCCGGGGGUGCCUGAAGUCCGUGACCGCAAGGAUCGGCCUAGGGCAAAACUGGUAAUUGGGGCUAAGUCGUAACAAGGUAGCCG